AGAAUCAACGCUGGCGGCGUGCCUAACACAUGCAAGUCGAACGAGAAAGUGGAGCAAUCCAUGAGUAAAGUGGCGCACGGGUGAGUAACACGUGACUACCUACCCUUGAGUGGGGGAUAACCUAGGGAACCUGGGCUAAUACCGCAUAAUACCUACGGGUCAAAGGAGCAAUUCGCUUAAGGAGGGGGUCGCGGCCGAUUAGUUAGUUGGCGGGGUAAUGGCCCACCAAGACGAUGAUCGGUAU
rnacentral:rRNA from 1 species